rnacentral:rRNA from 1 species
UACGUAGGGUGCAAGCGUUAAUCGGAAUUACUGGGCGUAAAGCGUGCGCAGGCGGUUUUUUAAGUCUGUCGGGAAAUCCCCGGGCUCAACCUGGGAAUUGCGAUGGAGACUGCAAGGCUAGAAUCUGGCAGAGGGGGGUAGAAUUCCACGUGUAGCAGUGGAAUGCGUAGAGAUGUGGAGGAACACCGAUGGCGAAGGCAGCCCCCUGGGUCAAGAUUGACGCUCAUGCACGAAAGCGUGGGGAGCAAACAGG